rnacentral:rRNA from 1 species
CUCUACGAUCACACCACGUUGAAUGCACCGCAUCCUGUCAGAUCUGCGAAGUCAACCAAUGUUAGGAAGAGAAAGUACCAUGCUUGGAGACAACAUGGUAUCCCUACGAGUCACAGACA